rnacentral:tRNA from 1 species
UCUCGGAUAGCUCAGUCGGUAGUAGCAAGUGACUGUUAAUCACUGGGUCGUAGGUUCAAGUCCUACUCCGAGAG